AUUGAACGCUGGCGGCAGGCUUAACACAUGCAAGUCGAGCGGGGUGAUGGUGCUUGCACUAUCACUUAGCGGCGGACGGGUGAGUAAUGCUUAGGAAUCUGCCUAUUAGUGGGGGACAACAUCUCGAAAGGGAUGCUAAUACCGCAUACGUCCUACGGGAGAAAGCAGGGGAUCACUUGUGACCUUGCGCUAAUAGAUGAGCCUAAGUCGGAUGAGCUAGUUGGUGGGGUAAAGGCCUACCAAGGCGACGAUCUGUAGCGGGUCUGAGAGGAUGAUCCGCCACACUGGGACUGAGACACGGCCCAGACUCCUACGGGAGGCAGCAGUGGGGAAUAUUGGACAAUGGGGGGAACCCUGAUCCAGCCAUGCCGCGUGUGUAAAGAAGGCCUUAUGGUUGUAAAGCACUUUAAGCGAGGAGGAGGCUCUUUUGGUUAAUACCCAAGAUGAGUGGACGUUACUCGCAGAAUAAGCACCGGCUAACUCUGUGCCAGCAGCCGCCGUAA
rnacentral:rRNA from 1 species